rnacentral:rRNA from 1 species
CCCCUAGAUGUUCUGGGCCGCACGCGCGCUACACUGAUGCAUGCAACGAGUUCUAUCCUUGGCCGGAAGGCCUGGGUAAUCUGUGAACGUGCAUCGUGAUAGGGAUAGAUUAUUGCAAUUAUUAAUCUUGAACGAGGAAUUCCCAGUAAGCGCAAGUCAUAAGCUUGCGUUGAUUACGUCCCUGCCCUUUGUACACACCGCCCGUCGCUACUACCGAUUGAACGUUUUAGUGAGGUAUUUGGACUGGACCUUCGGAGGUUCGCGCCUCCGUUGCUGUUCGGGAAGACUCCCAAACUUGAGCGUUUAGAGGAAGUAAAANUCGUAACA